rnacentral:rRNA from 1 species
AAUGUUUGCGGCCGUUGCGGGGGCGCUUACACAUGCAAGUCGCACGAGAAAGGGCUUCGGCCCCGGUAAAGUGGCGCACGGGUGAGUAACACGUAGGUAACCUACCCUCGAGUGGUGGAUAACCCUCCGAAAGGAGAGCUAAUACAGCAUAAGACCACAGCAUUCCGAUGCUGUGGAAAAAGCGGGCCUCUCUAUAGAAGCUCGUGCUCGAGGAUGGGCCUGCGGCCCAUCAGCUUGUUGGCGGGGUAAUGGCCCACCAAGGCUAAGACGGGUAGCUGGUCUGAGAGGAUGAACAGCCACACUGGAACUGAGACACGGUCCAGACUCCUACGGGAGGCAGCAGUGGGGAAUCUUGCGCAAUGGGCGAAAGCCUGACGCAGCGACGCCGCGUGAGCGAUGAAGGCCCUCGGGUUGUAAAGCUCUGUGGGGAGGGAAGAAUAAGCCUAGGCUAAUACCACUAGGUGAUGACGGUACCUCCUUAGCAAGCACCGGCUAACUCUGUGCCAGCAGCCGCGGUAAGACAGAGGGUGCAAACGUUGUUCGGAAUUACUGGGCGUAAAGCGCGUGUAGGCGGCUAUGCAAGUCGGGCGUGAAAUCCCUCGGCCCAACCGAGGAAGUGCACUCGAAACUGCGCAGCUAGAGUCUCGGAGAGGAAGGUGGAAUACUUGGUGUAGAGGUGAAAUUCGUAGAUAUCAAGUGGAACACCGGUGGCGAAGGCGGCCUUCUGGACGAUGACUGACGCUGAGACGCGAAAGCGUGGGGAGCAAACA